UUCUGUGAGUCUGCAACUGUUUUGUUCCUUCAGUUUUUUUCUUUGUUCUUAUACUCCACACAUGAGUGAAACCAUUUGAUACUUGUCUUUUUCCACCUGGCAUAUUUCACUGAGCAUAAUACCCUCCAGCUCCAUCCAUGUUGUUGCAAAUGGUAGGAUUUGUUUUCUUCUUAUGACUGAAUAAUAUUCCAUGGUGUAUAUGUACCACAUCUUCUUUAUCCAUUCAUCUACAGAUGGACACUUAGGUUGCUUGCAUUUCUUGGCUACUGUAAAUAGUGCUGCGAUAAACAUAGGGGUGCAUAACGAAUUUUUCAAACUGGGCUGCUGCAUUCUUAGGGUAAAUUCCUAGGACUGGAAUUCUUGGGUCAAAUGGUAUUUCUAUUUUAAGUUUUUUGAGGAACUUCCAUACUGCUUUCCACAAUGGUUGAACUAAUUUACAUUCCCUCCAGCAGUGUAGGAGGGUCCCCCUUUCUCCACAUCCUCGCCAACAUUUGUUGUUGUUUGUCUUUUGGAUGGUGGCCAUCCUUACUGGUGUGAGGUGAUAUCUCAUUGCGGUUUUAAUUUGCAUUUCUCUGAUGAUUAGCGAUGUGGAGCAUCUUUUCAUGUGCCUGUUGGCUAUCUGAAUUUCUUCUUUGGAGAAGUGUCUGUUCAGAUCCUGUGCCCAUUUUUUAAUUGGAUUAUUUGCUUUUUGUUUGUUGACAUGCGUGAACUCUUUAUAUAUUUUAGAUGUCAAUCCUUUAUCGGAUAUGACACUUAUGAAUAUAUUCUCCCAUACUGUAGGAUGCCUUUUUGUUCUAUUGAUGAUGUCCUUUGCUGUACUGAAGCUUUUCAGCUUGAUAUAGUUCCACUUAUUCAUCUUUGCUUUUGUUUCCCUUGCCCAGGGGGAUAUGUUCAUGAAGAAGUUGCUCAUGUUUAUGUCCAAGAGAUUUUUGCCUACGUUUUUUUCUAAGAGUUUUAUGGUUUCAUGACUUACAUUCAGGUCUCUGAUCCAUUUUGAAUUUAUUUUUGUGUAUGGGGUUAAGACGAUGAUCCAGUUUCAUUCUCUUACAUGUAGCUGUCCAGUUUUGCCAACACCAGCUAUUGAAGAAGCUGUCGUUUCCCCAUCGUAUAUCCAUAGCUCCUUUAUCGUAUAUUAAUUGACCAUGUAUGAUUACUCAUGGCAUAGACUUCCACUUAUUUGUGCCUUCUUUAACUUCUCUUAUGAGUGUCUUACAGUUUUCACAGUAUAGGUCUUUCACUCCUUAGUUAGGUUUAUUCCUAGGUUGUUUAUUCUUUUUGAUGCAAUUGUAAAUGGAAUUGUUUUCCCGAUUUCUCUGUUAGGUCACUGUUAGUAUAUAGGAAUGCAACAGAUUUCUGCAUAUUAAUUUUGUAUCCUGCAACUUUGUUGAGUCCAGUUAUUAGUUCUCAUAGUUUUUGGUGGAAUCUGCAGGGUUUUCUAUACAUAAUAUCAUGUCAUCUCCAAAUAGUGACAGUUUAACCGCUUCCUUACCAAUUUGGAUGCAUUUUACCUCUUUAUCUUGUCUGACUGCCAUGGCUAGGACCUCCAGUACUAUGUUGAACAAAAGUGGUGAGAGUGGACAUCCCUGUCUUGUUCCUAAUCUCACAGGAAAAGUUUUCAGCUUUUCACCAUUGAGUAUGCUGUUAUUAGCUAUCAGUUUGUUAUAUAUGACCCUUAUUAUGUCAAGGUAUGUACCCUCUAUACCAUUUUGCUGAGAAUUUUUAUCAUGAAUGGAUGUUGAAUUUUGUUGAAUGCUUUUUAGGCCAUCUAUUGAGAUGAUCAGGUGGUCUUUAUCCUUCUUUUUGUUGAUGUGGUGGACGAUGUUGACUGAUUUACCAAUAUUGUACCAUCCUUGCAUCCCUGGAAUAAAUCCCACUUGGUUGUGAUGGAUGACCCUUUUGAUGUGUUUUUCACUUCAGUUUGCUAAUAUUUUGUUGAGGGUUUUUACAUCUAUGUUCAUUAGGGAUAUUGGUCUAAAACAGAAAACACCUUCAGAAUCAAAUGAUAUUUCGGGGGGGAAAAAAUGCUUGAGGACUCCUAUUCAUGAAGAAGAUAAAUGCUUUCACUUAUAUCCUAUAUAAAAUAUCUUCAAUAUGUUUUCCUUUUGAGCUAUCCCUGCUGUAAAGCUGAAGGUAACAGAAAUAAUUCCCAGCAGAACCAACAGCAGUGAGGUCUGCAGGUUAAGAGUCUCAGGAGCUGGCCACUAAGCUCAUUCAUGUGCAGCAGGAUUCAGUGCCAUGCAGAUCUGUAUCUGUUAUCCCUCAGUGGUAUUUUGAAAACAGCACCACUUUCCUGACUUAAUGUGUUAAUUUACUGAACAUCUAGUAUGUGCAAGAAAGGAAAAUCCAGAAAAGAAUGUGACAGACGGCCAGCAACAAUCACUGCAUGUGUCACUCCAUGAGCACGAUCUCAUUUAAUCCUUUCAAAGACCUCCAGCCACACUCCUUUGAGUUACCUUCUCAACAAGGCAUUAACCCUGACCUAUAAGAACUUGAGCAAACAGUGACAUCAUAUCUGACAGCUCAAGGCUGCAUCCCUAGGAUGACUCUAAACCCCCUUAAAGUACCUGCCUGCCUGAGGAAACUCAAGCUGCCAAAAGAAGUGACUCUUGCAGCCACUGCCUGAAGGUAAGGGCCCCAUCUCCCAGUCUCUGCAGGGUUUCCCAACUUCAGUUAAGUGCUAGUUAGCAAACCCAGAUGGGCUUCACACCAACCCAACCCCACUCCCCUGACUCCAUAAAGGUCCUACUCACCCUCCACCCCCUCAUUCUCCCUUAAAACACCCAGUCACCUCUGUGCAAACUGAAGUUGAGUUCAGUUCAUGCUGGAUUCCUUUUUUCCCUGUUGCACCAGUUACUACACAUUAAAAUCUAUCCUUA